rnacentral:rRNA from 1 species
AUUGAACGCUAGCGGCAUGCUUUACACGUGCAAGUCGAACGAGUGGCGGACGGGUGAGUAAUAUAUCUGAACGUGCCCAGUAGCGGGGGAUAACUACUCGAAAGAGUGGCUAAUACCGCAUACCAUCGGAGCGGCCGAUAUCGGAUUAGCUAGUUGGUGGGGUAAAGGCUCACCAAGGCAACGAUCCGUAGCUGGUUUGAGAGGACGACCAGCACAACUGGGACUGAGACACGGCCCAGACUCCUACGGGAGGAAGCAGUGGGGAAUGUUGGACAAUGGGGGAAACCCUGAUCCAGCCAUCCCGCGUGUAUGAGAAGGCCUUCGGGUUGUAAAGUACUUUGGGCAGAGAAGCGGUAUCUGCAGAAUAAGCACCGGCUAACUACGUGCCAGCAGCCGCGGUAAUAC